GCAACCCUUGCAUUCCAAGGGAUUAGGCGCAAUUGGGAAU
rnacentral:sRNA from 1 species